rnacentral:lncRNA from 12 species
GGUGGACGGGCUGUCGCCUCCACGCCCCCGCUUAAGGGCUUUGCCCCCAAAGUCCUGAGCCAGGGGCUCAGGGGCUCCCUCGGUGACGUCGGAGUCCCUGCUGCCCACACUCGGCCUCUCUGCCCCCACCCUGGGUCCCCCCACCACCCCUCUCCCUCUCCACCCUCCCCUGUUUCCUCGUGGCCGAGCAGGUGCAGGGGCGCUGGGGCUCCCGGGCCUCCUUAGUUUCCCGGCCCCAGCGUCCAUCCGUGUGGCCUGAAACUUCAGUUUCCUGAGCUUGUCUGGAGAGGGCUGCGCCCAGGUGCCCGGAGGGUCCCGGAGGGGGUCUGCGUUGUGUGUCUUCUACACGUUGCUGUAACCUCGAGGAGCUUUGACGGCCGGCGUGGGCUAACCGGGGCCGUUUGCUCUCGCAGUGGGUUAAACCAUCCACGGAUAAGGCAUAGGAUGAGGUGUCAACGUUUGUUUUGAAGUCUCAGGAUUCUUAAGACGGUGGUUUUCCAAAGAACUGUCCCACCCAGAAUCACUUGCUUAAAUACUUGCGUGAAGUAC